UUGGGAGCUCCGAAAUUUACGAUGAAUCGGAUCUCACGUUGUAUUUCGUGUCAUCUAUAGAGAGCGACUAAUGAAGAUAAAAGGUCUCUCUCGCUAAAACCGCCCGUUUCUCUCUCUAAGGAUAAAGACGACGACAACAAAAAAGCUUCACAGAUGUGGUCAGUGGAUCUAUAUCCAACAACAAUAAACGAUCAUCAUCAUCUGAACAGAAUCAUCUGUCACGGAAGCAAGAGGUCCGAAAAUGGUCGAAAAUGGCGGUGAAUUGGAGAAAUCGACGCCGGAGGAGCAGAGCUGUUUCGACGGCUACGGAAUCCAGGUGCAGAUCAUAUUCGCUUACAAUCGACUAGCAGAUGGGAUAUCUAAGACUGUUUUCAGACAUUAUUAAGCUACACAAAUCACAUGCUAAUUUUGAUCUUGCAGUAAGAAAGAGAGAUUGUAAUGAAGGUCCUCGAGACUAUAGCUGAUGUUGGCCUAGAUACCCAACUAUCGGAUAAGGAGAUCGCAACUCGCUUGUCGAUCUCGAUGAUGAUGCCACGAAUAAACUUGACCGGAUGCUUCAGUUACUAGCGAGCUAUUCAGUUGUGUCACGUACACCCAAGGGGACUGUAAAUCUAAGCCGGCUAGAGUGUAUCGACCUGGGAUUACUUCCAAGAUGAGGCCAAUCAGGUAUUAGUUGGUCACAGGAUAGCAAGUGUACUUAUGUAUAUAUCUAAUGUUGAGAAAGGUGGCGAGACGAUAUUCCCACAAUUAGAGAUGAAAGAAUCUUAACUCAAAACCGACGAAGACUCAUACACGUGCACAUCACGUGAGGGUGUGCAAAAAUGGUUAUGCUGGUAUGUCAAUUCACCAAGGUAGAAACUAUGUACUCUUAUUAGGAAUGAGCGUGGUACAGGUACCGUAUCGAAACGGUACCGAAAUUCAUCAAAACUGGGUCCCGGUACCGAAAUAUUCGGCAUGGUCCGGUAUGGAACCGGUAUUUGAAGGUAAAAUUCGGUAUUUUACCAGUACCGUACGACCGAUACCGAAAAUGCCAAAAGCGAGCAUUUGGUACCGUUACCCAGUACCAAAUGCUCAUCCCUAACUCUUAUAGUGUUAAAAGAAAAUUACAUUAUACUAUAUGUUAGUAUAUGAAUGAAAGGAACAGUGAACUUCACAGAGAUAUGUGAUUUACGCCAUUACUUGACGUGUUGCUGGGUGUUGAAGACAUGUGUUAUAGUGUUUUUUCCCUUUUUUAAGCUGCCACAUAUAUGCAAUUCAUACAUAGUUCUCUAAAGCAAUUGUUGUUAAAUUAUAAUCUCGCCGGUGAUUCCGGGUGGAAGCGGAUCUAAUGCAAUAGCUUAAUCUCGCCAGCGAUCCCGACCAGAAAGUGGGUUACAACCGGAUCUUUGAAGUGCCUGAAGUUUGCUACAUUAUCUAUUAAUUGAAUUGAGCCAUUGAGGGAAGGUGCGGAAGGAGGGAGAAUGCAUACGGAAGUAUAGAAAGGUAGAGGUUGGAAGGUAAGGUGUUUGUUUUUUAAAAGUGUUUGAAGCUGUUUGUUGAAAUGUCUAGGGGCAAGGAUACAAGGAAUAAACGGUGGUGAGGGUGUUAGGAUACGUCGUUAUAGGAAGACUCAUGAACUAUUUUGAUGGGUCUUUGUAUCAGUAUGUUUGUGUCAACUUCUAAGUUUUGAUUCACUGUUGUAAUUAGUCUGAGACACAAGGACAAAUACUUUUAUCCUUUGUUUUAAAGAUUAACACUUCUUGCAAACAGGGAUGCUUCAAGGCCCACAACACCGUCAACAACUGCAGGAUAUGUUGUAAGUUUCUCAUUCGGAACAUUUAUCGCUCUAACCUAUUAAACGCUCAUAUGUCAAAUUUAGGGCCACCAUUUUUUAAUAUGUGAUUUGUAGAUGUGGCUGUGGGGAAAAAGAAGUAAAAAAUACUGUGUACCCGGCCGCAACGCGGCGGGUACUUUUCUAGUUGUUAUAUAAAAAAAAUCAUUUUUACUUGGUUUUCUUUGUAUUAUGUUAAAUGUUUUGGUUAUUGUGUCUUUUAACUGUGUUUUGCUCCUUACGUUUUUUACUAAGGUUUCUAUACAUUGUGUUAUUAUCAAAACUUAUAACACAAUGUUAAUUUGGGUUAUGCCCAUUGUGUUUUUAUUAGAACCUAUAACACAAUGUAUGACACAAUGAAGAUAGUGUUAUAUUUGGGUUUUCUAUACAUUGGGUUCUGGUCAUUGUGUUUAUUAUGCUAUGGAUUGUGUUUUAAUCUUCCGUUCAUUGUGCUUUUGUUUUGUUGCGCAUUGUGUUUCGUCUGUUGUCCAUUGUGUUUGAGUAUGCUUUCCAUUGUGUCUUUUAUCUGUUAUUAUCAAUUGUGUUUUUAGUUUGAUACUCAUUGUGUUUAGUCUGUUGGCCAUUACGUCUUUUAUUUGUUGUCAUCGAUUGUGUUUUUGGUCUACUUCCAAUUGUGUUUUUAGUUUGAUACUCAUUGUGUUUUACGUUAUGUACAUCGUGUAAUACGCAACUGGGUUUUCUCAUUGUGUUUUAUGUUAUAAUCAUUGUGUAAUACGUAAUUGAGUUUUCGAAAAAAAAAAUUAAAGUAUAGUAAUAUGGCAUAAAAACGCUCGAUUUUAUGGUAUAUCUUUUUUAUAAAACAAAUGAUGUAUAAAAAAGUUACGGACGUUUAUAAAUGAGGGCGAAUAUCAUGUGACUUGCAUGUGCGUAAUUUUUUUAUUUUCUUUGACAAAAUUACUAUUCCCACUUGAAUCUUUUUGAAACACUUGUCACUGUAUAGUGGCUUCUUACAUUUCUUGUUUUUAAACUAUUUUGUAUUAUAACUCAACCCGAAACUUAGGUAUUAUUAACCAUUUUUACAUAUAAAACUAUAUUUUACUUCAACAAAUAUUUUAAUGUAUUUAAAUAUGAGAAAGUAGUAUAAAAGUGAAAAAAAUACCAAUUUGAUAAUACUAAUUUUCUCUCAUGAGAAAUUCAAUUUUUAGUAUAUUUGACAAAACUAAUUUUCUCACAUGGGAAAUUCAAUUUUUAGUAUUUAAAGAAACUGAACCCUAAAAAUUAAUCAACUGGCAUAAAUAUGAUUUGAUGUGUUUGAAAAUGAAUGAUGUGAUGUGACAAGUAAAGUAUAUUAACUAACUAUAACAAAAAUAAUUAAGCCCGCCCCACACAAAUGAUUUUGAAGUUUUAUGUUUCUAUGUCUAGAUAAAUUCUAUGAUUCCAAGUUUGUAUGUUUGAAUUCCUUAUCUCUUAAAAUAAGAAAGUUGCUUCAGGAUUGUUUAAACUUUAAAACAAUUUUGUUAGCUUAGGGUCCGGAGAAUAUAUGAAUGAGGAAUCAAUCAGGAAAAUUGAUGAUUUGCGGGUGGUUAAAACACGUAAUGAUUGUUUUUAGGAUUUUUAGAACGACGACACACCUAAGAAGUGACCAACAUUUGUGCCACUACAUAUGAGAAUACAAUGCAUGAGCUUAAGGAUAUUUAGUAGCGGAUUUUGAAAAAAAAGAAUGAGCUACAUUAGUUUGAGCCAAAAUACAAACAUGUGCAAUUUUGAUCCAUUUACUUAUAAAUGGGCCUGGUCAAACAAAUAAGAAACUUAAAUAGGAAUGAGCCAAAUGGAUUGAACAUUUACUUUUCAGUGUAAAUUAUAUAAUUCAUAAUGUGCAACUUGUGUGGCACACGAGCUAUUAUUUACACAAGUAAUGGAACGUUUAUUUCAUUCCAAAGUUUAUGUCAAUACUUUUAAAUUAUACCGUUCCAAAACCCUAUAUGAAGUUACAGUUUCCUCGUUUUAGUGGGUGGAAGAUGGAGAAAAGGUUCACCUCGCCUCUUUUCAACCCGAGGGCAUAACUCUAUAGUGGCAUCAGUAGCUUGAAUAAACCAAAGGCCUGAUAUAAGUCGGGCCACAUGUGUUCUAAAUUACAACUAAGGAUGAUUAUCCGUUCCGUAGACGAUUCCAUUCUUCACCUUGAGGACAAGGUGACUUCAACCGGGGUGGAAUGAUAUGUGUGGGGUCAGACUUACGGGUCGGCCAUCGUGGGAAUUGGAUUGCAAGAUGGCACGUGGGUUAGUUAGAUUCAUUUGAUGUCUCGUUAUUUUUAGUUAUGAGUGGCUAGAAUAAUAAAGGGGUUGUAGGAUACCCACGUAUGAGUUUAUUUGUUUGCUUUGCAUAUAAUUCGUCAGUUAGUUCCCUUUCUUUAUAAGGGCCACGUUCCUUUAAUUAAUGUAUGCAGAAGAUAUGUUUUAGUCUAACUCCUUUCU
rnacentral:lncRNA from 1 species